rnacentral:lncRNA from 1 species
UGCCAUUCCUCCUCCCCUAGUCCCCCAGAAACGUCAUUCACACUUUAUUUUUAAGUAGAUACUUUGGUUUUCCUUUGUUGUUGUCGUUGGGGAGUGGCUUAAGUCCCUCCGAUAAGGUCACACAUCUCCCCGCAGAGGCCUCUCUUCCCACUCAGGGGUGGUAGUGGUUGGUACAGAUGUGGUGGGGGGCCAGGCCACCUCUGCCAGUCUCUUCACAACCUCACCCAGCUGCCCCAGACCCUGGGCGGCCUCCACCAGCUGGGUCAAGCCCAGUCCCAGGGCUCGGCGGUCCUGUUGAUCUCGCUCCAGGGCCUGGGUCAGGAGUCAUGGUGUGGUAAAUAGUGGUAGUGAGGUGAGGAGUCGUGGUGGGGUGAGGAGCUGUAGUGGGGUAAGGGGCGGUGAUGGGGUGAGGAGUUGUGGUAGGGGAAGAGGUCGUGGCUGGGUGAGGGGUUGUGGUGGACAGAGGAGCCUGGCAGGCUAUACAGUCCAUGGUGUUGCAAAGAUGGGGGGAGAGGUCACUGUAGGGUGAGAGAUUGUGGUGGGAUAAGGGGUCGUGGUGGGAUAAGGGGUCGUGGUGGGAUAAGGGGUCGUGGUGGCGUGAGGGGUCGUGGUGGGGUAAAGGGCAGAAGUGGGGUGAGAGGUCACUGUAGGGUGAGAGAUUAAGAGGUCGUGGUAGGAUAAGGUGUCGUGGUGGGAUAAGGGGUCGUGGUGGCGUGAGGGGUCGAGGUGAGGUAAAGGGUAGUAGUGGGGUGAGAGGUUGCUGCGGGGUGAGAGGUCAUGGUGGAGUACGGGGCCGUGGUGGGGUGAGAGGUCGCUGCGGGGUGAGAGGUCAUGGAGGAGUACGGGGCCGUGGUGGGGUGAGAGGUCGCUGCGGGGUGAGAGGUCAUGGUGGAGUACGGGGCCGUGGUGGGGUGAGGCCCUGUGGAGCGGUCUGGGGAACUGGAAGGUUCUGGAACUGCGCUAGGCUGUGGAGACGUGCCCCGGCCUGGGGCUUUGUCCGGAUCCGGGGUCAGCCCGGAGGUAGGGGAGAGGUGGGUCGCCGCCGCCGGGGCCGAGGG